rnacentral:rRNA from 1 species
GAUGAACGCUAGCGGCAGGCCUAACACAUGCAAGUCGAGGGGCAGCACAUAAAGUGGUUUACUACUUUUGGUGGCGACCGGCGGACGGGUGCGUAACGCGUAUGCAACCUGCCUCCAACAGGGGGAUAACGGAGAGAAAUUUCCACUAAUACCCCAUAAUAUCAGAAUCGGCAUCGGUUUUGGUUGAAAACUCCGGUGGUUGGAGAUGGGCAUGCGUUGUAUUAGAUAGUUGGUGAGGUAAUGGCUCAACAAGUCAACGAUGCAUAGGGGGACUGGGAGGUUAGCCCCCCACACUGGUACUGAGACACGGACCAGACGCCUACGGGAGGCAGCAGUGAGGAAUAUUGGUCAAUGGGGGCAACCCUGAACCAGCCAUGCCGCGUGCAGGAAGACGGCUCUAUGAGUUGUAAACUGCUUUUACAAGGGGAUAAAUCGGUGUACGUGUACACCGUUGAAGGUACCUUGGGAAUAAGGAUCGGCUAACUCCGUGCCAGCAGCCGCAGUAA